GCACUGGCUCCAACAGCACAGACACCAAAAGUGGAACGAUGCAGAGAGGAUGAGCAUGGCCCCUGGGCAAGGAGGACAUGCGAAUGUGUGAAGCAUUUUAUAGUUUU